GAGUUUGAUCUUGGCUCAGAUUGAACGCUGGCGGCAGGCCUAACACAUGCAAGUCGAGCGGCAGCGCGGGGCAACCUGGCGGCGAGCGGCGGACGGGUGAGUAACGCGUAGGAAUCUACCCAGUAGCGGGGGAUAGCCCGGGGAAACUCGGAUUAAUACCGCAUACGCCCUAAGGGGGAAAGCAGGGGAUCUUCGGACCUUGCACUAUUGGAAGAGCCUGCGUUGGAUUAGCUAGUUGGUAGGGUAAAGGCCUACCAAGGCGACGAUCCAUAACUGGUCUGAGAGGAUGAUCAGUCACACCGGAACUGAGACACGGUCCGGACUCCUACGGGAGGCAGCAGUGGGGAAUAUUGGACAAUGGGGGCAACCCUGAUCCAGCCAUGCCGCGUGUGUGAAGAA
rnacentral:rRNA from 1 species